UACGGAGGAUGCGAGUGUUAUCCGGAAUCACUGGGCGUAAAGCGUCUGUAGGUUGUUUGCUAAGUCUGCUGUUAAAGCUUGAAGCUCAACUUCAAAAAUGCAGCGGAAACUAGUAGAACUUGAGUGUGGUAGGGGUAGGAGGGAAUUUCCAGUGAAGUGGUGAAAUGCGUAGAUAUUGGAAAGACCACCAAUGGCGAAGGCACUCUACUGGGCCAUUACUGACACUGGAGAGACGAAAGCUAGGGGAGCAAAUGGG
rnacentral:rRNA from 1 species